UACGUAGGUGGCAAGCGUUGUUCGGAAUUAUUGGGCGUAAAGAGCGUGUAGGCGGCCAAGCAGGUCCGUUGUGAAAACUGGAGGCUUAACCUCCAGACGUCGACGGAAACCGCGCGGCUAGAGUCCGGAAGAGGAGAGUGGAAUUCCUGGUGUAGCGGUGAAAUGACGCAGAUAUCAGGAAGAACACCCGUGGCGAAGGCGGUUCUCUGGGACGGUACUGACGCUGAGACGCGAAAGCGUGGGGAGCGAACAGG
rnacentral:rRNA from 1 species